rnacentral:misc_RNA from 1 species
GAUGAAGAACGUAACGAAAUGCGAUAAGUAGUGUGAAUUGCAGAAUUCAGUGAAUCAUCGAAUCUUUGAACGCACAUUGCGCCCCUUGGUAUUCCAUGGGGCAUGCCUGUUCGAGCGUCAUUUGUACCCUCAAGCUAUGCUUGGUGUUGGGUGUUUGUCCUCUCCUUUUGCGAUUGGACUCGCCUUAAAGACAUUGGCAGCCAGUGUAUUGGUCUUGAAGCGCAGCACAUUUUGCGAUUCUUGCUGAUAAUCACUAGCGUCCAGUAAGCCUAUUUUAACACUUUUGACCUCGGAUCAGGUAGGGAUACCCGCUGAACUUAAGCAUAUCAAUAAGCGGAGGA